GCAGCGAGGGAGUACGGCGCUCCCCGCAGGCGUGCAGAGCGUUUGCGUGUCCUCACGCGUCGCACGAAAUCGAAAGUGACGUUAGGCGUGCGUGGCGCAUGCUCUUUGCAUACCGGGCCAGAGGUUUGUCAGCGCGCGAAAAGUCGAGGGCGCGGAAUCGAACCCGGGAGAGUGAACAAGUGAGUGUGCAGUGCAGUGACGGAGGGCCGCCAGGCCAUCGCCACACGGGGGGAAGCACCCUCGGUGCGCCCACUAUGCGGAUUACCUCAAGGCCCAGCCAGCGAGAGACAGCACGACAGUGAGAUAGGGUUGGAGCCGCGCGCCACCGCAUGGCCGCAUGGCCGCACGGCUCUGUCGUGUCGGCCCGCCGCCCCGCCGCCAUGAAGAGGAAGAAGAGGAAGUGAGAGCCGCGCGGCCGUGGCCAUGACUUGGGGGCGGCUUGCCUGGGCUUGCCCUGGCCGAUGUGUCAUGACGCUAGUCAUGAGGCCAUGACGGUCCCAGGGCCCUACCUGCCCCCGGACAAGGUGUACGAGGAGGCCACUCCGCAGGUGCGGCUGGCCGCGGAGCGCGCGGGUGCCGUCCUCAGCAGCAACCUCUCGCCGCCGUGCAGCAGGACAUCCCGCUCCAGCUCGAGGACCACGUCGAGGAGUCGCGCCACCGACCCCUCCCGUUCCUGCAGCUCCGACGAUGACGACGACGACAGCUUGGGGGACGGCG